ACUGCUCUGGAAAAAGGAUGUUGACAUGUCAUAACAGAUAGCCUAGGCCUACGGUCAAAAGUGGCAACAGCUGUUGCAGCUCCCCUAUCAAAACGACAAUGGUAAUGUUGCGACUUUAUGGCUGCCAAUCAUAUGACUUAUAUGAGUCAUAGUUUCAAUGAAUUACGUUGGACCACAAGUAGACUAGGCCAUUAGUCAUUCUCAAGGCCUGACAGGUAAACUAUAUCCGAAAUUAAACAGUAGCCCAUCCUGAACGAUCGCACAUUUCAACUCAAAUAUGGUCUGCACUGACUGAGAAACAGUGGCAUAGGCACCCUGGGUCGUACUGUGGCAGACUGUUGAGACAGCACACAUACAUCUGCCCGAUGUCGGUUUCAGAUCAGCAUGGAAUCCUCCCAUAUAAUAAUGUCGCAGGGGUAUCGGCCUGAAGUCGCUUCCAUGAGAAGAACCUGAUUUUUGGGGGAACAUUUUCUAACAGCAUUUUUUCAUC